rnacentral:rRNA from 1 species
GACGAACGCUGGCGGCGUGCUUAACACAUGCAAGUCGAACGGAAAGGCCCUGCUUUUGUGGGGUGCUCGAGUGGCGAACGGGUGAGUAACACGUGAGUAACCUGCCCUUGACUUUGGGAUAACUUCAGGAAACUGGGGCUAAUACCGGAUAGGAGCUCCUGCUGCAUGGUGGGGGUUGGAAAGUUUCGGCGGUUGGGGAUGGACUCGCGGCUUAUCAGCUUGUUGGUGGGGUAGUGGCUUACCAAGGCUUUGACGGGUAGCCGGCCUGAGAGGGUGACCGGCCACAUGGGGACUGAGAUACGGCCCAGACUCCUACGGGGGGCAGCAGUGGGGAAUAUUGCACAAGGGGCGGAAGCCUGAUGCAGCAACGCCGCGGGCGGGAUGACGGCCUUCGGGUUGUAAACCGCUUUCGCCUGUGACGAAGCGGGAGUGACGGUAAUGGGGAAAGAAGCACCGGCUAACUACGU